rnacentral:rRNA from 1 species
GGGCCCGCACAAGCGGUGGAGCAUGUGGUUUAAUUCGAAGCAACGCGAAGAACCUUACCUACUCUUGACAUCCUGCGAACUUGGUAGAGAUACCUUGGUGCCUUCGGGAGCGCAGAGACAGGUGCUGCAUGGCUGUCGUCAGCUCGUGUUGUGAAAUGUUGGGUUAAGUCCCGUAACGAGCGCAACCCUUGUCCUUAGUUGCCAUCAUUUAGUUGGGGACUCUAAGGAGACUGCCGGUGACAAACCGGAGGAAGGCGGGGACGACGUCAAGUCAUCAUGGCCCUUACGAGUAGGGCUACACACGUGCUACAAUGGCAAGUACAGAGGGCCGCGAAGCCGCGAGGUGGAGCUAAUCUCACAAAGUCUCUCGUAGUCCGAAUUGCAGUCUGGAACUCGACUGCAUGAAGCCGGAAUCGCUAGUAAUCGCGGAUC